rnacentral:RNase_P_RNA from 2 species
UGGGAAAGGGGCACGGUCGCGGAUGGGCAACCAUCUGAGGAAAGUCCGGGCUCCAUAGGGCAGGGUGCCAGCUAACGGCUGGGCGGGGUAACCCGACGGAAAGUGCAACAGAGAGCAGACCGCCUAAGCUCGCCCGAGACCGGGGCCUACAACCCCUCGCUCGCGAGCCGGCAAGGGUGAAACGGUGGGGUAAGAGCCCACCAGUGCUGGUGGAAACAUCGGCAGCUAGGCAAACCCCACCCGGUGCAAGGCUAGCCCGCGUAAGCGGGUAAGGUAGGGAGGGCUUGCCCGGCCCGUACCUGCGAGAAACAGCCGCUCGAGGUCGCUGGCGACAGCGAUCCUAGAUAGAUGACCGUGGAAACAGAACCCGGCUUACACCCUUUCCCGGGCU